rnacentral:rRNA from 1 species
UUUGGAGAGGGCAACUUUGGGGCCGUUCCUUGUCUAUGUUCCUUGGAACAGGACGUCAUAGAGGGUGAGAAUCCCGUGUGGCGAGGAGUGCGGUUCUUUGUAAAGUGCCUUCGAAGAGUCGAGUUGUUUGGGAAUGCAGCUCUAAGUGGGUGGUAAAUUCCAUCUAAAGCUAAAUAUUGGCGAGAGACCGAUAGCGAACAAGUACAGUGAUGGAAAGAUGAAAAGAACUUUGAAAAGAGAGUGAAAAAGUACGUGAAAUUGUUGAAAGGGAAGGGCAUUUGAUCAGACAUGGUGUUUUGUGCCCUCUGCUCCUUGUGGGUAGGGGAAUCUCGCAUUUCACUGGGCCAGCAUCAGUUUUGGUGGCAGGAUAAAUCCAUAGGAAUGUAGCUUGCCUCGGUAAGUAUUAUAGCCUGUGGGAAUACUGCCAGCUGGGACUGAGGACUGCGACGUAAGUCAAGGAUGCUGGCAUAAUGGUUAUAUGCCGCCCGUCUUGAAACACGGACCAAGGAGUCUAACGUCUAUGCGAGUGUUUGGGUGUAAAACCCAUACGCGUAAUGAAAGUGAACGUAGGUUGGGGCCUCGCAAGAGGUGCACAAUCGACCGAUCCUGAUGUCUUCGGAUGGAUUUGAGUAAGAGCAUAGCUGUUGGGACCCGAAAGAUGGUGAACUAUGCCUGAAUAGGGUGAAGCCAGAGGAAACUCUGGUGGAGGCUCGUAGCGGUUCUGACGUGCAAAUCGAUCGUCGAAU